rnacentral:rRNA from 1 species
CCUACGGGGGGCAGCAGUGGGGAAUAUUGCACAAUGGGGGGAACCCUGAUGCAGCGACGCCGCGUGAGGGAAGAAGGAUUUCGGUAUGUAAAGCUCUAUCAGCAGGGAAGAAGAUGACGGUACCUGACUAAGAAGCACCGGCUAACUCCGUGCCAGCAGCCGCGGUAAUACGUAGGGGGCAAGCGUUACUCGGAAUUACUGGGUGUAAAGGGAGCGUAGACGGGAGGGCAAGUCUGGAGUGAAAGCCCGUGGCCCAACCCCGGGACUGCUUUGGAAACUGCCAUGCUGGAGUGCUGGAGAGGUAAGCGGAAUUCCUGGUGUAGGGGUGAAAUGCGUAGAUAUUAGGAGGAACACUAGUGGCGAAGGCGGCCUACUGGACAGUAACUGACGUUGAGGCUCGAAAGCGUGGGGAGCAAACAGGAUUAGAUACCCGAGUAGUC